UACGAGGGGGAGGCAAGUGUUGUUCGGAAUUACUGGGCGUAAAGGGAGCGUAGGCGGGCUCUUAAGUUGGAUGUUUAAAACCGGGGCCUAACCCCGGCGUGGCAUCCAAAACUGGGAGUCUUGAAUGGGACAGAGGCCAGUGGAAUUAGAGGUGUAGCGGUGGAAUGGCGUAGAUAUCUCUAAGAACACCAGUUGCGAAGGCGGCUGGCUGGGUCCACAUUGACGCUGAGGCUCGAAAGCGUGGGGAGCAAACAGG
rnacentral:rRNA from 1 species